rnacentral:rRNA from 1 species
GAGGCAGCAGCUGGGGAAUCUUCCGCAAUGGGCGAAAGCCUGACGGAGCAACGCCGCGUUGAGUGAAGACGGCCUUCGGGUUGUAAAACUCUGUGAUUCGGGACGAAAGAUAAGUAGACGAAUAAUCUGCAUAAGUGACGGUACCGAAAAAGCAAGCCACGGCUAACUACGUGCCAGCAGCCGCGGUAAUACGUAGGUGGCAAGCGUUGUCCGGAAUUAUUGGGCGUAAAGCGCGCGCAGGCGGCUACUUAAGUCCAUCUUAAAAGUGCGGGGCUUAACCCCGUGAUGGGAUGGAAACUGAGAAGCUGGAGUGUCGGAGAGGAAAGUGGAAUUCCUAGUGUAGCGGUGAAAUGCGUGGAGAUUAGGAAGAACACCGGUGGCGAAGGCGACUUUCUGGACGACAACUGACGCUUGGGCGCGAAAGCGUGGGGAGCAAACAGGAUUAGAUACCCUGGUAGUCCACGCCGUAAACGAUGGAUACUAGGUGUAGGAGGUAUCGACCCCUUCUGUGCCGGAGUUAACGCAAUAAGUAUCCCGCCUGGGAA